CCAGCUCCAAAAGCGUAUAUUAAAGUUGUUGCAGUUAAAAAGCUCGUAGUUGAAAUUCUGGCUGUAUUGGGCCUUUGCUUUCAUGCGAAGGAACCAGCAGUCAUCCGCUUGCAAGUACAUGCUCUUCCUUAACCGGUAGACUGUAUAAGUAAGCAUUUUACCUUGAGAAAAACAGAGUGUUCCAGGCAGGUUUGUCCGGAAUGCAUUAGCAUGGAAUAAUAGAAUAUGACUGAGGUCGAUUUAUUGGUUAGAGACUUUAGUAAUGAUUAAUAGGAACAAUCGGGGGCAUUGGUACUUGUCAGUCAGAGGUGAAAUUCUUGGAUUUGACAAAGACUAACUGAUGCGAAAGCGUUUGCCAAGAAUGUUUUCA
rnacentral:rRNA from 1 species